UACGAAGGGGGCUAGCGUUGCUCGGAAUUAUUGGGCGUAAAGCGCACGUAGGCGGCCUUGUAAGUCUCACUGUGAAAGUCCGGGGCUCAACCCCGGGAUGCCAGGGGAUACUGCGAGGCUGGAGACAAGCAGAGGUUGGUAGAAUUCCGGGUGUAGCGGUGGAAUGCGUAGAGAUCCGGAGGAAUACCAGAGGCGAAGGCGGGUCUCUGGGCCGAAACUGACGCUGAGGAGCGAAAGCGUGGGGAGCAAACAGG
rnacentral:rRNA from 1 species